AGAGUUUGAUCCUGGCUCAGAUUGAACGCUGGCGGCGUGCUUAACACAUGCAAGUCGAUCGGUAACAGGUGUAGCAAUACAUGCUGACGAGAGGCGGACGGGUGAGGAACGCUUGGGAAUCUGCCUAUCAGCGGGGGACAACCCGGGGAAACUCGGGCUAAUACCGCAUACGCUCUACGGAGGAAAGCCGGGGACCGCAAGGCCUGGCACUGAUAGAUGAGCCCAAGUCGGAUUAGCUAGUUGGCGGGGUAACGGCCCACCAAGGCGACGAUCCGUAGCUGGUCUGAGAGGACGAUCAGCCACACCGGAGCUGAGACACGGUCCGGACUCCUACGGGAGGCAGCAGUGGGGAAUAUUGGACAAUGGGGGAAACCCUGAUCCAGCGACGCCGCGUGGGUGAAGAAGGCCUGCGGGUUGUAAAGCCCUUUCGGUAGGGACGAAAACUCUUGCUCUAACAGGGCAGGAGCUUGACUUAACCUACAUAAGAAGCACCGGCUAACUCUGUGCCAGCAGCCGCGGUAAUACAGAGGGUGCGAGCGUUAAUCGGAAUUACUGGGCGUAAAGCGCACGUAGGCGGCUUUGUAAGUCGGUUGUGAAAUCCCCGGGCUCAACCUGGGAACUGCAUCCGAAACUACUUGCUAGAGUAUGGGAGAGGGAGGCGGAAUUUCCGGUGUAGCAUGAAAUGCGUAGAUUCGGCAUCAGUGGCGAGGCCUCCUGGACAAUACUGACGCUCUGCGAAAGCGUGGGGAGCAAACAGGAUUAGAUACCCUGGUAGUC
rnacentral:rRNA from 1 species